rnacentral:rRNA from 1 species
GGAGGUCACUGCUAUUGGGAUUCGACUAAGCCAUGCGAGUCGAGAGGGUUCGGCCCUCGGCGAACUGCUCAGUAACACGUGGAUAAUUUGCCCUUAGGUGGAGGAUAACCUCGGGAAACUGAGAAUAAUACUCCAUAGAUCUAGGAUGCUGGAAUGCACUUAGAUUAAAAGCUUCGGCGCCUAAGGAUAAGUCUGCGGACUAUCAGGUUGUAGUCAGGGUAAAGACCUGACUAGCCUACAACGGAUACGGGUUGUGAGAGCAAUAACCCGGAGACGAUAUCUGAGACACGAUAUCGGGCCCUACGGGGCGCAGCAGGCGCGAAACCUUCGCACUGUGCGAAAGCGCGAUGAGGGGAUCCCAAGUGCUUGCUCGUAAGAGUAAGCUGUUUUUAUGUCUAAAAAGCAUAGAGAGUAAGGGCUGGGUAAGACGGGUGCCAGCCGCCGCGGUAAUACCUGCAGCUCAAGUGGUGAUCAUUAUUAUUGGGCCUAAAACGUCCGUAGCCGGUUUGGUAAAUGCCUGGGUAAAUCGUGUAGCUUAACUAUACGAAUUCCGGGUAGACUGCCAAACUUGAGACCGGGAGAGGCUAGAGGUACUCCUGGGGUAGAGGUGAAAUUCUGUAAUCCUGGGGGGACCACCAGUGGCGAAGGCGUCUAGCUAGAACGGGUCUGACGGUCAGGGACGAAGCCCUGGGGCGCGAACCGGAUUAGAUACCCGGGUAGUCCAGGGUGUAAACGCUGCUUGCUUGAUGUUAGUUGGGCUUCGAGCCCAAUUAGUGUCGGAGAGAAGUUGUUAAGCAAGCUGCCUGGGAAGUACGGUCGCAAGACUGAAACUUAA